AUGAUGACCAUUCUCAGCAGCCAGACUGGUCAACAUUCCAGAAAAUGUCAACAUCACUCUGAAGGGGCACAUAGUCCUUGUGAAGGGCCCCAGGGGAUCUCGGUGGAGGGACUUCAAUCACAUGAAUGCGGAGCUGAGUCUUCUUGGAAAGAAAAAGAAAAGGCUCCAGGUUGACAAAUGGUGGGGUAACAGAAAGGAUCUGGCCAAUGUCAGAUCCAACUGCUGUCAUGUUCAGAACAUGAUCAAGGGUAUUACACUGGGCUUCUAUUACAAGACAAGGUCUGUGUAUGCUCCCUUCCCCAUCAACAUCCUUAUUCAGGAGAAUGGGUCUUUGGUUGAAUCCGAAAUUUCUUGGGUAAGAAAUACAUCUGCAGGUUUCGGAUGAGGACAGGUGUUGCUUAUUCUGUCUCUCAAGCCCAAAAGGAUGAAUUAAUCCUUGAAGGAAAUGAUAGUGAACUUGUUUCAAAUUCAGCAGCUCUUAUUCUGCAAGCCACAAUAGUUAAAAAAAAGCAUAUCAGAAAGUUUUGUGUCUGAGAAGGGAACCGUGCAGCAGGCUGACAAGUGA
rnacentral:lncRNA from 1 species